GCAAGUCGAACGCGAACGGUUUCUUCGGAAACUUAGUAGAGUGGCGCACGGGUGAGUAACGCGUAAGUAAUCUACCCUGAUAUCUGGGAUAACAAUUCGAAAGGAUUGCUAAUACCGGAUACGUUGAUUUAUCAAGAAAGGUGGCCUCUAUUUAUAAGCUACUGUAUCAGGAGGAGCUUGCGUACCAUUAGCUAGUUGGUGGGGUAAUGGCUCACCAAGACUAUGACGCCUAACUGGUUUGAGAGGAUGAUC
rnacentral:rRNA from 1 species